rnacentral:rRNA from 1 species
GAUGAACGCUGGCGGCGUGCCUAACACAUGCAAGUCGAACGGAGUCGUUUUGGAAAUCUCUUCGGAGAUGGAAUUCUCGACUUAGUGGCGGACGGGUGAGUAACGCGUGAGCAAUCUGCCUUUAAGAGGGGGAUAACAGUCGGAAACGGCUGCUAAUACCGCAUAAAGCAUUAAAUUCGCAUGUUUUUGAUGCCAAAGGAGCAAUCCGCUUUUAGAUGAGCUCGCGUCUGAUUAGCUAGUUGGCGGGGUAACGGCCCACCAAGGCGACGAUCAGUAGCCGGACUGAGAGGUUGAACGGCCACAUUGGGACUGAGACACGGCCCAGACUCCUACGGGAGGCAGCAGUGGGGAAUAUUGCGCAAUGGGGGAAACCCUGACGCAGCAACGCCGCGUGAUUGAAGAAGGCCUUCGGGGUGUAAAGAUCUUUAAUCAGGGACGAAACAAAUGACGGUACCUGAAGAAUAAGCUCCGGCUAACUACGUG